rfam:Lutispora thermophila DSM 19022 genome assembly, contig: EJ66DRAFT_scaffold00017.17
GGUACCUGCACACGUUGCGGAGCAACAAUGGUAAAAGA